rnacentral:rRNA from 1 species
GACGUAGGGCGCGAGCGUUGUCCGGAUUUAUUGGGCGUAAAGAGCUCGUAGGCGGCUUGUCGCGUCGUUCGUGAAAACCCGGGGCUCAACUCCGGGCUUGCGGGCGAUACGGGCAGGCUAGAGUUCGGUAGGGGAGACUGGAAUUCCUGGUGUAGCGGUGAAAUGCGCAGAUAUCAGGAGGAACACCGGUGGCGAAGGCGGGUCUCUGGACAGUUCCUGACGCUGAGGCGCGAAGGCCAGGGGAGCAAACGGG